GGGUCAGUACGAUGGUAUUGCCACCGGUACGUACUGGUCUCACUGAUUCCUCCUUCCUGAAGAACCGUAAUGCCAUUAAUUUGGUGUUGCGGGGAAACAGGACUGUUACUUUGAAAAAAUUAGAGUGUUUAAAGCAAGCUAACGCUUGAAUACAUUAGCAUGGAAUAAUGAAAUAGGACGAUCGAUCCUAUUUUGUUGGUUUCUAGGAUUGACGUA
rnacentral:rRNA from 1 species